CAGAUGAAAAACUGGAACUGAGCAGCUGGAAGCAUGAACUGUUUUCCAGGAAAAACCUGCCUUGAAAAGUGCUUUGUGAGCAUGUUGGAGUUGAGGAGGCAGCUGUGUGAUUUCACAAUGUGAUUCUAAUUGUGCUUUAACAGACCCAGCCCAGUCUUUUGCUACACAUUAUUUUUUUACCAAGGUUUACCAAAAGGUGAGAGAUUUUGGAAGAGAUUCCAGGAGCAGUUUCAUCUUGACACAAGACAUUUUUUACAAUAUAAUUAAUCACUGGAACAGUCUCCUGAGGAAUGUGGUUGAUUCCCGUCAGAGUUUGCCUUCAUGAGCUUAUGGGAUACUUUAGGCACAUUUCUUCUCACUCUAGCACCAGUGGAAAAUGAAGUUAAAAGUUUUACUUAUUGUUAAGAGCAUGAUGGGAGAGACAAUGACCUUUCUCAAGCAACAACUAAGCUCCUACAACUUGAUUGAGCCCUUCCAAGACAGAAAACAAAAUCUGAAUUAUUCCAGUCUUUUCAGAUAUAGAAGUUAAACAAAAUCUCUUGCAAGGCAAACUUGAUGAAGAAUCUCAAUAAAUCAGAGAUAUAUGUGGGACAAUAUGAAAAUGCAUCCUGUGGUACUGUUGGUAGAAAAUUAAUCUAUUUUAUGAUUAAAAAUUGCAUUGCGUAAUUUCAAUGGGAUAUUAAUUUUCCAAUAAAAUCCACCUUUAAAAGGCUGAUCUCCUAGCUGCAUGUUGCAGGAGGAUAUUGUAAAUGGCUGGUUUCUUUUUUCUGUCAGACAUGCCACGGGAUGGGCAUAUUACUGUGGAACUCAAGACUUACGGGUCUGUUUUUCUAUUUAUAGCUCUCUUAAAUGUAGAACUAAUUUUGUUAUUCACCAUAACUUGUUAGGUAAAACACUGGUUGGAUUUUCUUUACAGUAGAGGG